rnacentral:lncRNA from 1 species
CGGCUUUUACAUACAUGUACAUGUCACACACACAAAAUCCCUGUUGAUACUCUCUUGGCGUUUUGAUUGUGACAACCGUGAUGAGCCCAUUUUACAGUUACAGACCUGUAAUGACUCCUGCGGAAAUGAUCGCAUGGUCAAAGAACAUCUAAGGGGCUGAGUUGUCUUUUUAUGUUGAAUCUUUGCUGCCAGUGGUCGGACCCCCCGGACCCUGCAAGCGGGAGCUACAUGCACCAGGCAUCUUUCCUGCCAGUAGUUUAGAUAUUGCUGUGUUUGUUUUGAUUGCUUCUCUUAACAAUUUUUGUGCCUGUAAACUAAUCUCCGUAUUUUCUGGUUUGAUAUGGUGGUGGUGAUAAACAUUUUCAGCAAACAUGCCAGUUCUGCUUCUGAGAAUUCAUGACUGAAAAACCUGUUAUAUUGAUCUGAGCCAUUGCAAUUGACAAAAGCUGUGUCUUCCCAGCGGUGAUACCUGGAAAAUCAUGAUUAAUGUUUCUGUUAAACCUGUGUAUCUUCCAUGUGUUCUUGAUCUAAAUUAGGAGCUUGUAAUUUGUUCUUAAAAUUGUCUGAAAUCCCGAUGAUGUUAUGCCCAACAUUUAGAGGUGCAUAUGGCUCCAGGAUCCUGUUUACAGGAUGAACCUACCUGGAGGUGCUGUAUCCACAUGACAUCCACCGGCAAGUCUGAGGUUCUUGAUGAUCACAUCGAACUUUUCUUGCGGUUUUCAAGUUGACCUCUGUUUUUUUAACUGAUAAAACUAACAUCAUUGCUGAGUUUAACUAUCCUCUCACAAGUUUGUCUGAUUUGCUGAGUCUAUAUGCCUAGUAUCUCUGAUGUAGUUUCUUGUAAUUGUCUUCUUAGAUGUUUUCUCAUAUUGACUUGUUUUGUGCCAUUGCGGUGAUGUAGCUUCUUGUAAAAUGUAAAUGUAGAUGUGAUUGCGUUUAGCUAUCUCUGAGGCUGAGUUAAAACAUAUUUAAUUUUUGGUUUAAUCAAUGAGAGAUAGAUGAUGAAUGAGAUUAAUUUCCCUAUUGGUUUGAUUGGCCGAUAUGAUGGCCUCAAUACUGAACCAAAUCUGACCUCACUCUUUUUGACAUUUUACUUGACUUUGUUCUUCGUACAGUAUUACUCCCUCUGUAAACUAAUAUAAGAGUGUUUAGGUCACUACUUUAGUAUUCUAAACACUCUUAUAUUAGUUUACGGAGGGAGUAUAAUUUAUUCAAUAGAUUAGUUUCUAAUUUAAUAGGCAUAUAUCAGAUUAUGAGAUUAUUAUCUAAAACCCUGAGCUGUGUUGCAAGAGCUGUCAUUCUUUGCCCAUCUGUCAUUCUUCGGUGAGCAUUGUUGAUGCAAAUGAUGAGACAGAAGUUUUAUGGGUAAUUUGCGUCUGAGGCAUCUCUGUGAUAUUACACUCUUUUCACCUUGGAGAUCUGAUGCAUCCUGUAUAAUAUUCUCACCCUUUGUUUUUCCCUAAUUUGAUUCUCGUGGGUGAAAUGAGGAUUAAAUAAUUUUAUUGAUGGACGGUAUGAUGUCCAUUGAAUCAUGUAUUAGCUCUAUCUGAUCAUUCUCUACUGAGUUUUGUUCUUUCAAUUUUAAGAAUUUCUUCUUUGUUGUUUGAACGCCUGUUGUUGAUGCAAAUGUGGAAACACGAGUUUAUGGGUAAUUUGUGUCUGAGGCAUUUCUUUGAUGUCACUCUUUCACCUUGGAGAUCUGAUGCAUCCUGCCUCCCUUUUGCGUUCAAAAUAAUAUUUGUUUUUUGUUUUAAUGAGAUGAGAUGAUGAAUGAGAUUAAUUUCCCUAUUGGUUUGAUCGGCUGAUAUGAUGGCCUAAAGUACUGAACCGAAUCUGAUCAUCUUCUUGCUUCCUAGAAAAAAUCGAGCAGUUUGCGAAGUCACUUGCCUUCAAAAUGAAACGAAAGGGACAGUCUACCUCUCCCUUCCCUUUAAAAAAAGUUUGCCCGUUGUUUGACUCACUUAAUACUCAAUUUUUGGAGCUCUGUUGCCUUGCCUUGUCAUAUUUGCGGUUGUUUGUUCUAUGUAGAGUAAUAUCAUCUAUUAAUUUUCUAAUUCAAUCUGUGGAAGUGAGAUGAUGAAUGAUUAAUUUCUUGAUUGACCCGCAUGAUGGCCUAAAUACUGAACCGAGUCUGAUCAUCAUCUCUUUCUUUUCUUGAUGUUCUUUUGAAAUCUUGUUUUAUCAAGUUGUUUGCUGUUUCUGGGAGGAGUAUUAUUGAUGCGAAUGAUGGACACAAGUUUUAUGGGUAAUUUGCGUCUGAGGCAUUUCUGUGAUGUCACACCCUUUUCACCUUGGAGAUCUGAUGCAUCAAGCUCACUUACGCUGUGUUCUUCCUUUGUGUUUCCUUUAUAUGUCUAGAUCGAUCUUGGGUUAUGCUUGCCCCCAAAUUCCAGUUUAUCCUAUGUGCUUCUGUAAUUUGUGAUGCCCUUUUAUCUAGUUUAAUUCAAGUUCUUGUGGUACUGAUUUAAGUUGAACCUUUGCUGGUGCAGUGAUUAUAAAACAUUCCUCAUACUGAUGGGAGGUCCCUGUGAACGACUCCUAUACACCCAUAGAAUCAGAGCACCAACAAUAUGGUUUCAUUAGAUUCUUCCUUUUUGUGGUUAUUCGUCCUGAGAUUGUUUUGUGCUUGUACUCCAAACUAAUGUUUAUAAGAAUUCUGUCAUAUAUCACCACCAUACUCUGAUUCCAUAGUCUUUUUGUUUGUCUGUGCCGAGGAUUAAACUAAUUUAUAGACAAGCAUAUGUCUGAAUUCUUGUCAUGUGGAGCGAUCUAAUCUUCUCUAUGAGGCCAAUCUUAUUCAUUUUUUUAUCUGCAGUUUUAUUUGAUGUGUUCUGAUGUUGUGUGAUGCUGCUAAUGAUUAGCGUGAACUUUUCUCAAUGAAAUCACUAAUGAUUACAUAACCUACUGACUUCCUUCUUAGGCAUCAUGAAUCCUGGAAUUCUUCUGUGUUUUUUUCUGUUAAUUCGUUUUGGUUUUCCUGUUGAUUCAGUGGUUUGCCCAGGUCGAAUGAUGAUCACAAGUGCAUAGUUCAUAUGAUCAAAUCGUGAUUACUUGAACAGAAAAUAGUCUUUCGCUCCUAUCUGAUGACCUUUCAUCCUCACCCUUUUCAGGAGAAUCAAACAAUAGUUUUUUCGUCUUUUUUGCAUUUACAUGUAGAACCCUACAUUAUUAUGGUGUAGAUGUAUAGAUUCCUUAGAGGACAGUGAAGAUUGAUAUUUGGUCUCGUUCGUUGUAAAUGGCAUUUACUUGCCUUGCCGACCAUCCUGCUAUAUCACCACCCAUAUUCUGAGUACUAUCUUGGGUUUUCAUGUUAAAUUUUUUUGUAUUUAGCUUAUGAUGAUUAAACUAAACUAAAUAGAGAAGCAAUUUUAUCUGCUUAUUAAAUAUGUUGAAUUUUUGUACAAUAAAUAUGAUCUUCCAGAUGUGAUUAACAGUUGCCACGUUUUCAAUGAGUUCCUAUUUGUUUGCUUUUGAGAUAUCUUCUCUUGUUGUUGUGAUCUGUUCACUAAUUUUCUAAAUUAUCUUUUUGGGAUUAGUUUCUUCAUAUCACUUUAAACUUUGAUUACGAAUGCACAACAGAUACUUUGAUGCUUGCAAUGAUUUUCCAAACCAGUUUGAGGAUGAUGAUUUCAUAUUUGUCGCUCCAGUCUUAGGGUCUGCAUUGCUGGAUCUGUGCUGAUUGACAUACUUCUGAAUCUGACUUGUAGAUGGUGAUAUCAUAUAUGCGCUCUGUUAGUCAUCUUCUCUAGUUGGUUGAUUUUUCUUUGCAGACUUGGUUCUUUUUCUUUGGUGAUGGCAGUGACGAUUUGCAAAUAUUCAAGCUCAACAGACCUAAUCACAGAUUUUCUCUCCGGAGUUGAUUGUUAUGCCGAUUACCCCGCUGAACCGAGCCAUCUGAUACCUGAUUUUGUUUUUCUGUGGUUCAUUGUUCUUUUAUCUCAAUGUAUCUUUUGUGUUUGAUUUUCUUUUUUUCUUUUGGGGGAUGUAGUUGCGAUGAGGAUAAUAAGCUCCCUCUUCUGAAAGCAUUGACGACAACUCUGUAUCUUCGAACAAUCUCUCUUGGCUGUUAUUGAUCAUUUGCUUCUUCUUACCUUCCAGUCUACAGUAUCUGUUUGCAUUGUUAGGAGUUAUUGAUGCAUAGUUCUAAUCUUUGUACUCCCUCCGGCCGGGUUUAUUAGGCCCCCUUUCAUUUUGAGCCAAAGUUUGACCAUGAAUUUUAACUAAUAAAAUAUAAAAUACAUGUCACAAAAAGUAUACCAUAUGAAACCUCUUUCAAAUACAAAUUCAAUAAUAUACUUUUUGUAGCAUAAACUUUAUAUAUUUUUAGUUAAAUACAUGGUCAAAGUUGAACCCAAAAUGAAAGGGGGCCUAAUAAACCCGGGCGGAGGUAGUAGUUGUCAGUGGAUGAAACCUUGAAUCUUGGCAUCUGAACCCAUCAGCUUUUUGUUUAUUUCGUUAAGUGUCCGUGGAUGAAACCUUGAAUACAAUCUUUGGACACUUUCUGCCACAGUGCUUAUUUCUCCUGUGAAAGCAUUUACAUUCUGAUUAUAGACCUUUAAUUUUUUAACCACAACAACCGUUGGCCAAUCUUGUCUUCCAAAUUGGAUACAGAAUGCAAUUACCAUUAUAUCCAGAUGAUGAUAUUUUUGCUGCUUUCUGAGGUUUAAAACAGCUCAGGUCUUUUGCUUUUCUAUGUUGUAAACAGCAGCCACUAAUCGUUACUGAUAGUGUCCUCCUCUGGGUUUGCUCUUUACUGGAAUCUCUGUUUGCAUCUGGUUUGAUUCAGGUUAUUGUGUUAUUUAAGUUGGUCCCUGAGGGGAUUCCUUUUGACCUUUGAUUGAUCGGUUGAUGUCUUUGUUUCAUGCUUAUUAUGCAAUAUGAUUUCAUCAACUGGGGAAAUGAUAUGGCACUGAUGAUAAAUUUAAGGCUUGUUUCUCAAAACAUUCGCAAUUGCCGCCUAAGAGCUUUCGCCCAGCCAGGCUUGAGAGCUAAUGCUGCUAAUUCCUUCCUUGGAUGUCUGAGCCUUGUUAACAUCCCCAUUGUUAUCAUUGUUUCUAUUUUGGUUUGUUGUCUAAAUUCCUUGUUUUUUUGCAUUGCGCAAAUGUUGACAGUUGCUGCCAAAAGUUUUUGCCCUACCAUAUUUGAGAGCUAAUAUUGCUAGAUCCUUCCUUUGAAUCUCUUAAGGCCCUUAAGCCUUCAAUGUUGAAAUUUUCUUAAAAACAUUGAUACUUGGUGCUCUGAUUUUGACAACUGUGAUGAGCCAAUUUUACAGUUACAGACCUGUAAUGACUCCUGCGGAAAUGAUCGCAUGGUCAAAGAACAUCUAAGGGACUGAGUUGUCUUUGUAUUUUGGAUCUUUGCUGUCUUGCUUCUAUUAAUGGUAUUCAAGCCUGUAAACUAAUAUCUAUGGUUCCCGGGCAAUGAGAAGAUAGUAAGCAGAAAGCAACCGCAGUCCAGCGCAGAACUUCUGACGUGAAUAGAUGAAGGAACUGUAUUGCUUUCUCUUUUGAUGAAUUUGACUGAAUCAUAACAACAAACAUGCAGUACGAUGGGAUGGGAUGUUAAAAGCAUGUAAAUGUCAAACUAUGGCUUAGCUUCUAUUUCUCAUUCCAAGUUGUUAUAACUGACAAACGAACCGCCGUUCUGGAAGUGCCCUGGCCUUAUUUGAACAAUUCAAACCACAACUCUGGAGAAGCGCAACAAGGAUAUGGAAGUUUGAUUUAUGAAACCAGGAAACCACGCCUCUUUACAAGAAGGUAGGUUCGGAAAAAUAGAGCCAGUCCUUGUAGUCUAAGCAUGGAUCGACCGUGGUGGCAGAGAAGGAAGGUCCCGAGGCUGAUGGUGUGGUGAUAGUAGAGGGAGGAGUGAUCCUUGUAUCUCCAGUUUUUUGCUCGACUGAGGUCUGACGGGGACGCUCAAUGAAAAAUUCCAUGUCUCCUUUUUUUUCCCUUGUGAAUUCAUUAAUCUUGCUGUGCAAAGGUGUCAAAUGAUGUAAAAUAUGAAGUAGCUGGUUCCCUUUGAAGUUUGGUAUGUUUACAGAACUCUGCUUAUAAUCUGAACGAAGUGCUUAUCUGCGCAACCGUUGUACAAUGCCAUGUGUUUGUUUGACUCUUCCGUGGUUUCUAUUUGAUUUAUGGCGGUGGUUUGAAUCUUACCCGUGCUUCUGAUUAAUUCAUUACGGACAAGGGAAAACAUGGUUGAAUUUCUUAAUAUGCGCCAUACAAAUAUUACUGAAGAUUUUAUUUUAUCUUCUGGUUUGAU